AAACCCUGACGCAGCAACGCCGCGUGGGUGAUGAAGGUCUUCGGAUUGUAAAGCCCUGUUUUCUAGGACGAUAAUGACGGUACUAGAGGAGGAAGCCACGGCUAACUACGUGCCAGCAGCCGCGGUAAUACGUAGGUGGCGAGCGUUGUCCGGAUUUACUGGGCGUAAAGGGUGCGUAGGCGGAUGUUUAAGUGGGAUGUGAAAUCCCCGGGCUUAACCUGGGGGCUGCAUUCCAAACUGGAUAUCUAGAGUGCAGGAGAGGAAAGCGGAAUUCCUAGUGUAGCGGUGAAAUGCGUAGAGAUUAGGAAGAACACCAGUGGCGAAGGCGGCUUUCUGGACUGUAACUGACGCUGAGGCACGAAAGCGUGGGUAGCAAACAGGAUUAGAUACCCUGGUAGUCCACGCCGUAAACGAUGGAUACUAGGUGUAGGGGGUAUCAACUCCCCCUGUGCCGCAGUUAACACAAUAAGUAUCCCGCCUGGGGAGUACGGUCGCAAGAUUAAAACUCAAAGGAAUUGACGGGGGCCCGCACAAGCAGCGGAGCAUGUGGUUUAAUUCGAAGCAACGCGAAGAACCUUACCUGGACUUGACAUCCCUUGCAUAGCCUAGAGAUAGGUGAAGCCCUUCGGGGCAAGGAGACAGGUGGUGCAUGGU
rnacentral:rRNA from 1 species